GGAUGUGCAGGCUGGUCUAGAUCCAUGCUGGGCACACACUCUCUAUGUUUGUUUUCUCAUGGCGCAGCUCAAAUUUUUGUAUGAAACAAUUAUCGGAACAGUGAAAAGAAUAUACAUGUGUAAUUCAGGCUUCGGGCAUAUACAUAGUGUGCCAGUCUGAAUAUUUUUUUGUGGAACAGCUUGUCACUUUGAACAAAGUAGGAAAUAUGCAAAUGUGAUAUAAUAUAAGCAUGAUUAAUUUGUUGAGAGGCUUAUUUUUAAUUAAACAUAUUUCAUAG
rnacentral:lncRNA from 1 species